rnacentral:rRNA from 1 species
AACGAACGCUGGCGGCAUGCCUAACACAUGCAAGUCAAACGAGACCUUCGGGUCUAGUGGCGCACGGGUGCGUAACGCGUGGGAACCUGCCCUUAGGUUCGGAAUAACUCCCCGAAAGGGGUGCUAAUACCGGAUAAUGUCUUCGGACCAAAGAUUUAUCGCCUUUGGAUGGGCCCGCGUUGGAUUAGCUAGUUGGUAGGGUAAAAGCCUACCAAGGCGACGAUCCAUAGCUGGUCUGAGAGGAUGAUCAGCCACACUGGGACUGAGACACGGCCCAGACUCCUACGGGGGGCAGCAGUGGGGAAUAUUGGACAAUGGGCGAAAGCCUGAUCCAGCAAUGCCGCGUGAGUGAUGAAGGCCUUAGGGUUGUAAAGCUCUUUUACCCGGGAUGAUAAUGACAGUACCGGGAGAAUAAGCUCCGGCUAACUCCGUG